ACCACGCUAAUUAUCUAAAAUAAAGUUUUCAAAAUUUCCCAACCCAAUAGAGUGAAGGGGAAAAGAAGGUCUAUUCAAUCCAUAGCUUGGAUUUCCCAGCAGGCACGGUGAUUCUGAUUGUUGUUAUCCUCAAAGGCUUCAGCUUUGGUCCUCCCCUCUCAACAACCUCAUCAAUUUCGGUUUAGCACUUAAUGUCCUGUUAUUGUAGGGACGUAAGUCUUGCUAAACAUGAUAUGUUCAAGGCUAAGUAGGAGAACUCAUCCCUUGCCAUAUCUUAGGGCACUGCAAACCAACUCUCUUGAAUCCAGAUGCCUAUCUAUCCUUUCUAAAAGAACAAGUUACAGGUUCAU